UGGAAGAUGGUUUGACAAAAUAUUGACUAUGAUCAAUGUUUCUUAUACUAAACAAUAGAUUCAUUGAUAAUUUUAAGAUUGAUUCCUGGACAAUUGCCUUUGCUUGAUUCAAAGGCCAAAAACAAUAAUCUUUUCCCAGAUCAUUGCUAGAAUUCACACAACUGUAUUUUGCUAAAGUUAUAGCAAAAAAUCCCUUAAAGGACUUUAUGCUAAAUUUUACAAAUGGCUCUUCCAAUGUAAGAACUGCAUAUAUAGCUAAUAAAAAAAUUAUGGAGCAUAACAAGGCUCCUUAAACUCAUAGAAAGUUGCCAACAGAUCCUGAUGCAAAUGGAUCUGGCAUGAUAACACCAAGCUGACCUUUGCUAGGGCAAGGUGGAAAAGCCCUUGCAAUGCAUUAUGAAAAAACCCGACCUAUGUAUAUUUGGGGUCAAGGAUAUGUUUAUGUUUUUUUUUUUCACAGAAAGAAAAUAAAAGCUGGAGCUGAUGUCGAGGCUGCAGAUGCCCCACAAAGGAGUUCCAGAGGUGACUGGGGAGAGGUCCUUGGUCUGGCCUUUCCUGUCCCCAAGGAGAAAAGUGCCAGGAUGUACUUCAGAUAGCUGAAUCCAGCUCACCUCACUCAGGAAUCCCACCUGCCCUGAAGCACAAAUGCUAAACUGCCUCUGCAGUUUGAACUCUGUUUGCUUUGGAGCUAAGAAAAAGAAAAAAGAUGUGGAAGACAUUGAAAACUCUACCACCUCGUCUGACAAGAUUUCUCAACUUAUUUAAUAAUCAAGAUAAGAGGACCCUUCACCUACCAAGCACGCCCUUUUGUCUGCCAGGUCCUAGGUCAGCAAGAGGCCCUGCUCCUGUACCAGGAGAACCAUCCAGAAGGGUAAGUGUGUGUCCACCUGGCUAACCGGACACUCUGGGAAUGGAGUACAGAACCCCUCCAAUUCCCUAAACAUUCCUGGCCAUUCAGCAAGGCUUCUUCCUGGCUACUGGCUUUCUCUAUUUACCCCAUCCUAUUUUGCCACCAAACACUCCUGUUCAUCUGCAGGGUCCUUAGUUUCACCACCACAACCUACUUCAGGGUGAAGGGGAACUGAGAGUCAACUCCAGUGCUGAGGGGACCUAAAGAAGGCAGACCAAGAAAAACCCCCAAUACACAGCCACAGAGAAGAUUGGAACAAGACGCCAAGACUCUCCUGACCGUAUUUGAAGGAAGAAAUGGGCAGGUACCAAUUAAAGGAUUCCUCCAACAACCCGAAAAGCAACAUAACACCAGAAUCCAGCGAACAUGCAACAGGAAGACUUAAACACCCUAAUCCAGAAGAAGUAGAAGAAAUAGACUUUAAACAUAAAAUUAUGACAGUGAUAGAGACCCUUAAACAGGACGUGAAAAACUCCGUUAAAGAAAUGGAUGAGAAGACUAACAAAAAGUUAGAAGAAAUAAAUAAAUCCCUCAAAGAUACCCAAGAAAACACAGAAAAAAACAAUCAAACAGGUAAUGGAAACAGUUCAAGACUUGAAAACUGAAAUGGAGGUAAUGAAGAAAACACAAACCGAAAGAUGGCUGAAUAUUGAAAAUCUGGGUAAAUGAACCGGAACUACAGAGACAAGUAUAACCAACAGAAUAUAAGAGAUAGAAGAAAGAAUCUCAGAUGCUGUAGAUACUAUAGAGGAAAUAAACUCAUUGAUCAAAGAAAACAGCAAAUCCAACAAAUCCUUAGCACAAAACAUCCAGGAAAUCUGUGACACCAUGAAAAGACCAAACCUAAGAAUAAUAGGAGUUGAAGAAGAAGAAUUUCAGCUCAAAGGCCCAGAAAAUAUAUUUAACAAAAUUAUAGAAGAAAACUUUCCCAACCUAAAGAAGGAUAUUCCUAUGAAGGUACAAGAAACGUACAGAACACCAAAUAGACUGGAUCAAAAAAAAAAAAUCCCCUCGCCAUUUAAUAAUCAAGACACAGAACAUACAGAAUAAAGAAAGAAUAUUAAGAGCUGCAAAGGAAAAAGGUCAAGUAACAUACAAAGGUAAACCUAUCAGACUUACACCUGACUUCUCAAUUGAAACCAUGAAAGUCAGAAGGUCUUGGAUAGAUGUGCUCCAGACACUAAGAGACUACUAUACCCAGCCAAGCUUUCUCUCACCAAUGAUGGAGAAAACAAGAUAUUACAGGACAAAAACAAAUUUAAACAAUACGUAACCACAAACCCAGCCUUACAGAAAGUACUAGAAAGAAAACUACAACCCAAGGAAGCCAUAGUAACACUCAUACAACACACAUAGUAACAUAGUAUCUGACAAUCCUCCACUAGCACAACUCAAAGAAGGAAAGCCCACAAACACUACCACCAAAAAAAAAAAAAAAAUGAAUACAAUAGCAGAGGAAGAUAUAGGAGAAAAGGAAACAUAAAAGACAGAAAUGACUAAAUUCAUAAUUUUAUAUAUGAAACUGUAAAAUAAAACAAAGGAAAUUUAGUAAUCCCAACAUCCAUGAAGAAAAGUUAGAGAAAAUUGACUUAAAUGAGAAAAAAGAUUUUCUUAUUGUCUUCUGAAGAUAAGAGCUUUCUGGAAUAAACAAAAUAAUUUAAUUGAAAUGUUUUCAUUUAAUCAAAUGAAGUCUCCCCACUAUUCUCUUUUUUUUUAGUAUGGAGUUAAAUACCAAUUAAUUGUCUUAGGUGAUGUUCAUGUUAAUCAUUGCUUACAAAUAUGUUAUAACUACUUGAGAAUAUAUUUCUUGAAAUCUUUUUGUCUCUGUAAUCUGACAGUUCUUUCUUGUUAGAAAAUACAUGUAGCCAUUUAAAUAGAUUUGAGGGAGUUAUGAUUAUGAAAACGAUAUAGGCCAGAGUGACUAUUUUAAGAAACAUAAAGCAAGAACAUCCAACUAUCUUGAACACUUCAUUUCAUUUAUUUACACCUCAUAGUUGAAUUAUUUGUGAAACUUACACUGUGAGAAAUAACCCUGGAAAUUGUUUUUAUGGAUAACUGUCAUGAUGUUUUGUCUAUUUUUAUUACAACUUAAAGUCUAGUCUGUGUCACCUUCAUUGUUACUAUUAUGAUGCAUAAGGUUAUACUACAGAUCCGUGGAUAUUAGAAAAGUGAAUUAUAGAGCAAGGAUCCACAAAACGUGUCAUUAAAGAACAAUCUGAGGCUUCAGAGUUGCUGCCCAGAAUAUGUUUAAACAGGAAAUUGUAAUGACGGGACAGAGUGGCAACACCUACUUUUCUGCCUUGGGCAUAGAAGGAAGCCUUAACAUAAUAAAAACAAGGCAUUUAAUGGUGUUAUUAUGGUGCAUUGUAAUGCAUAGACUUUAAAUAUUUUUUUGCAAUAAAUAGACACAUCUUUUUUUUGAACCCAGAAUUGGUAGUUUCCUAUCAUUACAUAAGGAGUGAUCAUAGUACACCAGAAAAAGUAUGAGAUCUUAUGAGUCACAACAAAGGAGAUAAGGCAGAGAGGAAAAUGAGGUCAUAUGUGUUCCUAAUAGGCCCCAGAGGGUAGCAAGGGGUUUAUUAAAUACAUGUAAAUAUACAAUGAAAGGAAAGUGAUAAGGGUUAUAUUGGAAACAUAUUCUAAUUUCAGUUUCUAGAAAAUGUUUAAAUACAAGAUGGAAUGAAGACUGGGAGAAUAGGAGAGAAGUUUCUGGUGAAGAAAACAUGUUGGAAACUUGAAGCACUAGAGACAGGGAACAUUCAAGGAGCCUAAAGGAAUUAAUGGUGAUGAAAGGAGACAGAGACAGAGACCCACAUUGGAGCACCGGACGGAAAUCUCAAGGUCCAAAUCAGGAGCAGAAGGAGAGAGAGCACGAGCAAGGAAUUCAGGACCGCGAGGGGUGCACCCACACACUGAGUCAAUGGGAUGUUCUAUCAAAUGGCUUUUAACAGCAAGAUAAAAUCCCCUUUCAAUAUAAAGACCACACAGAAUAUACUGCACAAUCUCUAAAGAAGAGUAUCAUGGAAAAUUGUAGAACUCAUUUCAAAUGAAAACGCACCAUUGAAGAAAUAAAACUGUCAUUUAUGGAGUGUAAAACUUGAUUAUAAAUGUGGUUUUUAAUCUUUCUCUUAAACAAAACUGAGAAUUCAUCAGGUCUCACAGAAAAAAGAUAUGAACAGAUUAAAGAAUAGCAGCUAACCAAGAAACUCAGGAUUUGAGGAAAGACACCUUGCCAAUUUUAUUAUUUCAUUUUAUUGUCUCAUUCAUUUUAGACUUGAAGCUGUAGAAUAUAGUUACCAAGAAAUAUCACUACAGACUCUUAAUGCAACCAUAGUACUAAAAGAUCACACUAAAACAACUUUUGCCAUAAGUUUGGCGAGUUUGAGAUGAUGACCCACUUCCUCAAGAACUACAAACAAUAAGAACUCAUACAACACAAAAGUUGAAUGUCUAAAUGACCAUGAAACUAUUGAAGAAUCUGAAUUCAUGAUUUCUCAAAACCCUAAAAAAAGUAGCUCUUUAACUUGACUAAGAGACUAACUAUACCCUUGUCAACAUCAGAUUUUUGAAAUCAUAUUAUAAAAUCAUAUAAAAUGCAGUCAUUGGAGAGAUGAGUGAACAGCACACAGGAUCAUUGAUUUCUUCUUUAAUAUUCAUAGAAAUCCACAAUACUUGAAAAAUAGAAUAUCCAAUUGAAUGCCAAGCAUGUUGUUCUAGAUUACAAUUCUAAAUAUAUAGCAUGAAUUUUAUGUCCUAUCUUUUAUUGUAUAGGUCAGUUUUAAAUACAAUUGUAACCAUAGUUUGUUCAAACAUAUCUAGUUUGGUUUUGUGUCUUAGUUUGCACAUGGACAUCUGCUUCACAUUUACUAGAGUAGGUAAAAUAUAGUAAGCUUUUUAAAAUUGUACUGUUGAUACACACACAUGCUAAUACUUUUGUCCUUAGUUUAAUAAGAAGUGAAGUAGAAACUUUCCCCCAAGCCUAUGCACAUUUUUUGACCACACUGUUACCUCUUUAGAAUUGUUUUUGUCUGAAUCAGUUCUUAUUGUGUGUCUGCACUGAUUUUUGAUUGCAUAAGACGGAUUUUAAACCGCCUAUGUAACCUGUCUGUACUGCUCUGCUUAGUGAAUAGUGCUGGUGCAUGAUUGUUGAGUGCUCCCCCUCAGUCCUUUGAAAGUCUAAUCUCAUGGCAGAGGUACCAGGGAGAGUCAUGCUCACCGCCCCAACUCUAGAAAACAGUGGCUUUGUGUUGCCACCAAGUAGCUUGCAGCCCACAACUCACAAACCCCAAUCAAGUGCUCCUUGGCAGGACCUCCGAAAGGAGCCCUCUAUGCUGCCAGCAGGAACUAGGAAGUUGCUUUCUCAAGGAGACAUGCCUUUGUUAGUCAUUAACAAACAGAGUUUACCAGAGAAAU